rnacentral:ncRNA from 1 species
CUCUUAUUCAGAGUCGGUGGAGGGACAGACCCGAGGAAGCCCAGCAACCAUCACAUUUCAUGUGAAAAGGUGCUAACCUGAUGCAAGGUAAGUAGGUCACCUUGAACAAUAAGAG